rnacentral:rRNA from 1 species
UACAGAGGAGCCAAGCGUUGUCCGGAUUGACUGGGCGUAAAGCGCACGCAGGCGGAUGCGCGCGUGGGGUGUGAAAUCUGGCCGCUUAACGGCCAGGCGCCAUCCCAUACGGCGGGUCUGGAGUGAUGCAGAGGUCGAUGGAAUUGCCGGUGUAGUGGUGAAAUGCGUAGAGAUCGGCAGGAACACCCAGGGGGAAACCAGUCGACUGGGCAUCUACUGACGCUGAGGUGCGAGAGCGUGGGGAGCGAACCGG